UGGAUUGGAUAAUGUGAUUUAUUGUUUUGUGACAAAGUGAAAGCCCAGGAAACAGUACUGCUAUUCAGCCGGUUCUAUCCGGUUCAGGUAAACCGGUAGCGGCGGCUGCGGGAGGCUCUGCCUAUCUUCCCGGGCAUCAACACGUCCCGUUUUUGAUGCUCUGCACAUGCACAGAAGGUCCAGUGCAUGCACAGAGGUGGCGUGUGCACUUCCAUUUGCGAACUGGUAGCAAAGGGAAGAAAAUAAAAAACGAUGAACUGGCCACCCAAUGCAAAACUGAUUGAAGGACACAGACCCCAAUAUAACUCCAAAGGUGGCAAAAAUUUUUGCUGCAGUCGUGGCUGAAAAAAAACAAGGGAAGAGACGGGUAACCCCUACGGCAGAGGAUCACUAGUAUUGACAGUACGGAUUGUAUCUGAGGCAGUAGAUGGUGUACUGUCACAUGAUCUAUCUAUAUUUGUAAAAUAUACUCCCCUUCUAUGUGUAUUUUAAUUUGGUCUCUGACCCCAAUAAAAAGCUUACUUACUAUAA